GGAGAGGUGCUCGAGUGGUUGAAGAGGCACGCCUGGAAAGCGUGUAUACCCCAAAAGGGUAUCCGGGGUUCGAAUCCCCGUCUCUCCGC
rnacentral:tRNA from 6 species